GCAAGUCGAACGAACAAAGCUGGAGCUUGCUUCAGCUGCGUUAGUGGCAAACGGGUGAGUAACACGUGGGAAUCUACCCAUCAGUACGGAAUAACAUUUGGAAACGAAUGCUAAUACCGUAUAUUCUCUAAGGAGGAAAGAUUUAUCGCUGAUGGAUGAGCCCGCGUAAGAUUAGGUAGUUGGUGGGGUAAUGGCCUACCAAGCCGACGAUCUUUAGCUGGUCUGAGAGGAUGAUC
rnacentral:rRNA from 1 species